ensembl:lncRNA
GGCUUGUAUUGCAUUUCAUCACUGUACCAAGAGUUAAUGAACUUCUCUUUUUCGCUUGCUAUAUCACUCAGGCCAUCCACAGUCACUCUUCUAAUCAGCAAGUACUUCUUAAUCAGCUAUGAGGUUGUCUGGAGGUGGACGACAAUGCAUUUGAUGGCCCCGUUGGCUUCAUUUCUCUCUCAUGUAUGGGAGUCAGCAGGAUAAUCUGGUUGCCUGUAACUUCAGUCAAAUUGAAGAUGUUCCAUCAAAGCUGUAAUCCGAUAUGAAGGCCGUUAGAGUUCACAGACAGGUAUGUUGCAAAGGCCUCUGAGCUCUUUAGGAUGAUGAUGGUAACGCGGAUGUGUAGGCUGCUCUGGUGCACAUGCAACUAAAUCCAUUUCCCUUGCGAACAGUUGAUAGCACAGCUGAACACUUUAGCAAUGCCAUUUCACCCUUAAUGCCAAACUGCAGUUCAAAAACCUUUAAAGGCAGUAGAUGAAACUCCUUUUUCACAAAGAAACGCUCUCAGUCUUCCUGACAAAGCCCACAUGACCCAGCAUGAGAGCAGUUCCUGUCUUAACUAGCAGGUGAAGUCACUCGGCCCGCCGUGAGUCCGGCGGCCAUCAGAGCAGCAAGCCUGCUGUCUGAUUUCAAAUCCAUGAAAGACAUCCACUUGAAGAAAAAAAAAAACAGUUAAAAGCUGUCUCACUUUCUCAGAUAAAUGCCAGAUGCCCAAAAAGAAAAAAAAAAAGAGAAGGAAUCUUAUCAGAAGUAAAAAUGUGACAUUUCCCAUUUAGGUUUCUCUUUUGAUAGACAUAAAAUGUUUAUGUUCACCAUGCUGAGAUUUUGAAAAGAAAAUGAACUUAAAUCUCACAUUAUAUAGCAACGCUGCAAUGAAAAACAUUAAAUUGGGAAAUUAUACUGUGCCGUUUUAUCUAAACAGGCUGUGUAGAUUAGUAAUUUAUUCUUAUGGAUUGCUGUUAGAGGCAGAUUAAAUGCUUCAUUUUUUCAGGUACUUUAAAAGUAAAAUUUAUGUC